UACGUAGGGUCCAAGCGUUAUCCGGAAUCACUGGGCGUAAAGCGUGCGUAGGUGGUCUGUUAAGUGAGAUGUUAAAUCGUGUGGCUCAACCAUAUCGUUGUGUCUCAUACUGGCAGACUAGAGGAUAGCAGAGGCAAGUGGAAUUACGAGUGUAGCGGUAAAAUGCGUAGAUAUUCGUAGGAACACCAAUAGCGAAGGCAGCUUGCUGGGCAACUCCUGACACUGAUGUACGAAAGCGUGGGGAGCGAACAGG
rnacentral:rRNA from 1 species